rnacentral:rRNA from 1 species
UACGUAGGGAGCAAGCGUUGUCCGGAAUUACUGGGUGUAAAGGGAGCGUAGGCGGGAUGGCAAGUUGGGUGUUAAAUCUACCGGCUCAACUGGUAGUCGCACUCAAAACUGCUAUUCUUGAGUGAAGUAGAGGCAGGCGGAAUUCCUAGUGUAGCGGUGAAACGCGUAGAUAUUAGGAGGAACACCAGUGGCGAAGGCGGCCUGCUGGGCUUUUACUGACGCUGAGGCUCGAAAGUGUGGGGAGCAAACAGG